GUUGUAUGGUUAAGUGACUAAGCGUACAUGGUGGAUGCCUUGGCAGUCAGAGGCGAUGAAGGACGUACUAACCUGCGAUAAGCCGUGAGCAGUCGGUAAGAGACAUUACGACUCACGGAUUUCCGAAUGGGGAAACCCACUUAGCAUAAGCUAGGUAUCGCUACGUGAAUACAUAGCGUAGCGAGGCGAACCGGGAGAACUGAAACAUCUAAGUACCCCGAGGAAAAGAAAUCAACCGAGAUUCCCUCAGUAGCGGCGAGCGAACGGGGAUUAGCCCUUAAGCAUCUUGGAAGUUAGUGGAACGGUCCUGGAAAGGCCGGCGAUACAGGGUGAUAGCCCCGUACACGAAAACAACCUUGAUGUGAAAUCGAGUAGGGCGGGACACGUGACAUCCUGUCUGAAUAUGGGGGGACCAUCCUCCAAGGCUAAAUACUCCUGACUGACCGAUAGUGAACCAGUACCGUGAGGGAAAGGCGAAAAGAACCCCUGUGAGGGGAGUGAAAUAGAACCUGAAACCGUGUACGUACAAGCAGUGGGAGCCCUUCGGGGUGACUGCGUACCUUUUGUAUAAUGGGUCAGCGACUUACAUUUUGUAGCGAGGUUAACCGUAUAGGGGAGCCGUAGGGAAACCGAGUCUUAACUGGGCGUCUAGUUGCAAGGUGUAGACCCGAAACCGGGUGAUCUAGCCAUGGGCAGGUUGAAGGUUGAGUAACAUCAACUGGAGGACCGAACCCACUAACGUUGCAAAGUUAGGGGAUGACCUGUGGCUGGGGGUGAAAGGCCAAUCAAACUCGGAGAUAGCUGGUUCUCCCCGAAAGCUAUUUAGGUAGCGCCUCGGACGAAUACUACUGGGGGUAGAGCACUGUUUGGGCUAGGGGGUCAUCCCGACUUACCAACCCCAUGCAAACUCCGAAUACCAGUAAGUAAUAUCCGGGAGACACACGGCGGGUGCUAACGUCCGUCGUGAAGAGGGAAACAACCCAGACCGCCGGCUAAGGUCCCAAAGUUCUGGUUAAGUGGGAAACGAUGUGGGAAGGCUCAGACAGCUAGGAUGUUGGCUUAGAAGCAGCCAUCAUUUAAAGAAAGCGUAAUAGCUCACUAGUCGAGUCGGCCUGCGCGGAAGAUGUAACGGGGCUCAAACCAGGCACCGAAGCCGCGGAUUCACGCUAAGCGUGAGUGGUAGGGGAGCGUUCUGUAAGUCUGCGAAGGUGUGUCGAGAGGCAUGCUGGAGAUAUCAGAAGUGCGAAUGCUGACGUAAGUAACGAUAAAGGGGGUGAAAAGCCUCCUCGCCGGAAGACCAAGGGUUCCUGUCCAACGUUAAUCGGGGCAGGGUGAGUCGACCCCUAAGGCGAGGCCGAAAGGCGUAGUCGAUGGGAAGCAGGUUAAUAUUCCUGCACGACUUGUAAUUGCGAUGGGGGGACGGAGAAGGCUAGGUGGGCCAGGCGACGGUUGUCCUGGUGAAAGUGCGUAGGUGGUGUUUCUAGGCAAAUCCGGAGACACAACACUGAGACACGAGACGAACACACUACGGUGUGGAAGCCAUUGAUGCCCUGCUUCCAGGAAAAGCCUCUAAGCUUCAGAUUACAAGUCAUCGUACCCCAAACCGACACAGGUGGUCGGGUAGAGAAUACCAAGGCGCUUGAGAGAACUCGGGUGAAGGAACUAGGCAAAAUAGAACCGUAACUUCGGGAGAAGGUUCGCUCUUGACAGUGAAGUCCCUUGCGGAUGGAGCAGUUGGGAGUCGCAGUGACCAGAUGGCUGGGACUGUUUAUCAAAAACACAGCACUCUGCAAACACGAAAGUGGACGUAUAGGGUGUGACACCUGCCCGGUGCCGGAAGGUUAAUUGAUGGGGUUAGCGCAAGCGAAGCUCUUGAUCGAAGCCCCGGUAAACGGCGGCCGUAACUAUAACGGUCCUAAGGUAGCGAAAUUCCUUGUCGGGUAAGUUCCGACCUGCACGAAUGGUGUAACCAUGGCCAUGCUGUCUCCACCCGAGACUCAGUGAAAUCGAAUUCGCCGUGAAGAUGCGGUGUACCCGCGGCUAGACGGAAAGACCCCGUGAACCUUUACUACAGCUUGGCACUGAACAUUGAACCUACAUGUGUAGGAUAGGUGGGAGGCUUUGAAGGCGUGACGCCAGUUGCGCUGGAGCCGUCCUUGAAAUACCACCCUUGUAUGUUUGAUGUUCUAACGCAGGCCCGUGAAUCCGGGUCGCGGACAGUGCCUGGUGGGUAGUUUGACUGGGGCGGUCUCCUCCCAAAGAGUAACGGAGGAGCACGAAGGUUGGCUAAUCCUGGUCGGACAUCAGGAGGUUAGUGCAAUGGCAUAAGCCAGCUUAACUGCGAGACGGACAGGUCGAGCAGGUACGAAAGUAGGUCAUAGUGAUCCGGUGGUUCUGAAUGGAAGGGCCAUCGCUCAACGGAUAAAAGGUACUCCGGGGAUAACAGGCUGAUACCGCCCAAGAGUUCAUAUCGACGGCGGUGUUUGGCACCUCGAUGUCGGCUCAUCACAUCCUGGGGCUGAAGUCGGUCCCAAGGGUAUGGCUGUUCGCCAUUUAAAGUGGUACGCGAGCUGGGUUCAGAACGUCGUGAGACAGUUCGGUCCCUAUCUGCCGUGGGCGUUGGAUGAUUGAAGGGAGUUGCUCCUAGUACGAGAGGACCGGAGUGAACGAACCUCUGGUGUUCGGGUUGUCACGCCAGUGGCACUGCCCGGUAGCUAAGUUCGGAAUCGAUAACCGCUGAAAGCAUCUAAGCGGGAAGCGAGCCCUGAGAUGAGUCAUCCCUGACCCCUUGAGGGUCCUAAAGGGCCGUUGGAGACCACAACGUUGAUAGGUGGGGUGUGUAAGCGCGGCGACGUGUUGAGCUAACCCAUACUAAUUACCCGUGAGGCUUAACCAUACAACACCCAAGAAGUGUUCUG
rnacentral:rRNA from 1 species